UACGUAGGGUGCAAGCGUUGUCCGGAAUUAUUGGGCGUAAAGAGCUCGUAGGCGGUCUGUCGCGUCGGCUGUGAAAUCCCGAGGCUCAACCUCGGGUCUGCAGUCGAUACGGGCAAACUAGAGUAUUGCAGGGGAGACUGGAAUUCCUGGUGUAGCGGUGAAAUGCGCAGAUAUCAGGAGGAACACCCGUGGCGAAGGCGGCCCACUGGGCCGGUACUGACGCUGAGGCGCGAAAGCGUGGGGAGCAAACAGG
rnacentral:rRNA from 1 species